GGUGUGAAUUCAAUAAAAUACUUUGCAGGAGUUCUGUGGUUUGAGGCUGGUCACACUUUGCAGCAAAUCAAACCUCAGAAAUAUAGUUUAAAAACGUUAGGAACCUCCAGGAUCAAAGUUUUGUUAAAAUGGAUUUGACUAUAGAUAAGUAUCAAUUAUUUAUGGAGCAAACCAAUAAAAUCCUUCAACUACUUAUUUUUAAGUGAACAAGCAGAGCAAAGCCUGAAAAUUCUAAAUUCACGUUGUACUAUGAAAUAAAUUGGUCUUAAGUUUUUUUCUCAAAAUACUGCAUAAUCAGUUAGCACUUAAAUCCUGGAGUGUCACUUGAUAGUAUUACCUAUACUAUAUACUCCACUUGUCAGAAAGCAUUUUUGCUCCAAUUCCUUGGAUGGCUUUUGUCA